rnacentral:rRNA from 1 species
UACGUAGGGUGCAAGCGUUAAUCGGAAUUACUGGGCGUAAAGCGUGCGCAGGCGGUUCUAUAAGACAGAUGUGAAAUCCCCGGGCUCAACCUGGGAACUGCAUUUGUGACUGUAGAGCUGGAGUACGGCAGAGGGGGAUGGAAUUCCGCGUGUAGCAGUGAAAUGCGUAGAUAUGCGGAGGAACACCGAUGGCGAAGGCAGCCCCCUGGGAUAACACUGACGCUCAUGCACGAAAGCGUGGGGAGCAAACAGG